rnacentral:lncRNA from 1 species
AAAAGAUUUCUUCCUCCCAACACAGAUCACAGGGGCAAAUGGACACCGAACUAUGAGGGUCCGUACGUGGUUAAAAGGAUUUUCUAUGGCGGAGCUUUGAUGCUAACAACCAUGGAUGGCGAAGGAUUCCCGUCCCCUAUUAACUCAGACGUAGUUAAAAAAAUACUUCGCAUAAAAUAGACCCGCUGGACGAUAAAAAGAAUAGUCCAGGCAAAAAAAGGGCAUCCCGACGAACCAAAAAAAAAAAGAAUAAAGAGGUUUGGGCAAA